rnacentral:rRNA from 1 species
AGCGAACGCUGGCGGCGUGCCUAACACAUGCAAGUCGAACGUGAAAGGGAGCAAUCCCAAGUAAAGUGGCGUACGGGUGAGUAACACGUAGGUAAUCUACCCCAGAAUCUGGAAUAACCGGCCGAAAGGCUGGCUAAUACUGGAUAGAGCGACGGAAUCCGUAAUUGGGUUUUUCGGGAAAGGGAGCCUGUAAAAAGGCCUUCGUUCUGGGAUGAGCCUGCGUCCCAUCAGCUAGUUGGUGAGGUAAAAGCUUACCAAGGCAAUGACGGGUAGCUGGUCUGAGAGGACGAUCAGCCACACUGGGACUGAAACACGGUCCAGACGCCUACGGGAGGCAGCAGUGGGGAAUCUUGCGCAAGGGACGAAAGUCUGACGCAGAAACGCCGAGUGAGGGAAGAAGGCCGUCGGGUUGUAAAGCUCGGUCGAGUGGGACGAAAAUGCUUGGAGUUCACAGCUCCAGGAACUGACGGUACCACUAAAGGAAGCACCGGCUAACUCCGUG